AGUGAACGCUGGCGGUAGGCCUAACACAUGCAAGUCGAACGGCAGCACAGUAAGAGCUUGCUCUUACGGGUGGCGAGUGGCGGACGGGUGAGGAAUACAUCGGAAUCUACUUUUUCGUGGGGGAUAACGUAGGGAAACUUACGCUAAUACCGCAUACGACCUACGGGUGAAAGCAGGGGAUCUUCGGACCUUGCGCGAUUGAAUGAGCCGAUGUCGGAUUAGCUAGUUGGCGGGGUAAAGGCCCACCAAGGCGACGAUCCGUAGCUGGUCUGAGAGGAUGGUCAGCCCAACUGGAACUGAGAAACGGUCCAGACUCCUACGGGAGGCAGCAGUGGGGAAUAUUGGACAAUGGGCGCAAGCCUGAUCCAGCCAUACCGCGUGGGUGAAGAAGGCCUUCGGGUUGUAAAGCCCUUUUGUUGGGAAAGAAAAGCAGCAGGUUAAUACCCCGCUGUUCUGACGGUACCCAAAGAAUAAGCACCGGCUAACUUCGUG
rnacentral:rRNA from 1 species